GGGGCUAUAGCUCAGUUGGGAGAGCGCUUGACUGGCAGUCAAGAGGUCGUCGGUUCGAACCCGUCUAGCUCCA
rnacentral:tRNA from 1 species